UUCGAAGAACCUUUUGCCCCGUGAAGAGUAAAACUUCAUUUUAACUCCAGUGGAACUCUGUCUACCUUUUUUAAACAGGCACCAUGGCUGGAUUCAUGACACGGAUCGGCAUCUAUCUGAGUCUGCUUUGUCUAACAAUAAGCCCUGUUCUUUCCUAUAAUGACGACAAAACGAUCUACAAGUGGAGCCCCCUAUAUUUCCGCAAUCUGAAGAAGAAUCUUUGGAAUUUUCCCUGUGCAACAGAAAACACAGUAUGUGGGUUCGAAAGAGUUUCAUACCGUGUGGUUGUUCGACUACCUUGUUGUGGUGCGUUAGUAUGUCAGAGAAUCGGAAUUCGCCACUUCUGCCUCAAGCCGUGGAGUUGGGAGGAAACCAGCGACGUUUAUUGAGGGAUGUUUGAUUGCUACGGAAACGAAACUGUUUCAUCGAAUCGUUCGGAUAUUUUCCUGAUUUGUAUGUUGCCCAGUAUUUAUUACUAAUUUUUUUGUUGUUAAUUUUGCAACGAUGUAUUAAAAUCGAAGUAAACUUUAUGAGUCUUUUUGUUAUUUGUUCAGUUUAAUGGUAAUUACAAGUAUGCGAUGUUUUUGUUGACUCCUUUGAGGUUCUGAGAAAACAAAGAUUGUUUUUUACAUUCUAUUCCAGAGUGAACGAAACACGGAAACAAAA